ensembl:misc_RNA Metazoa_SRP Metazoan signal recognition particle RNA
GCUGAGUGUGGUGGCCCAUGCCUGUAGUCCCAGCUACUUGGGAGGUUGAGUUGGGAGGAUCGCUUGAGCUCAGGAGUUCUGGGCUGUAGUGCUAUGCCAAUCGGGUGUCCGCAGUAAGUAUGGCAUCAAUAUGGUGACCUCCCAGGAGUAGGGAACCACCAGGUUGCCUAACAAGGGGUGAACCAGCCCAGGUCGGAAAUGGAGCAGGUCAAAACUCCUGUGCUGAUCGGUAGUGGGAUUGCUCCUGUGAAUAGUCACUGCACUCCAGCCUGGGCAACAUAGUGAGACCCCCAUUGCU